AGCGAACGCUGGCGGCAGGCCUAACACAUGCAAGUCGAACGAGACCUUCGGGUCUAGUGGCGGACGGGUGAGUAACACGUGGGAACGUGCCUUUAGGUUCGGGAUAACUCAGGGAAACUUGUGCUAAUACCGAAUGUGCCCUUCGGGGGAAAGAUUUAUCGCCUUUAGAGCGGCCCGCGUCUGAUUAGCUAGUUGGUGAGGUAAUGGCUCACCAAGGCUACGAGCAGUAGCUGGUCUGAGAGGAUGAUCAGCCACAUUGGGACUGAGACACGGCCCAAACUCCUACGGGAGGCGGCAGUGGGGAAUCUUGCGCAAUGGGCGAAAGCCUGACGCAGCCAUGCCGCGUGUAUGAUGAAGGUCUUAGGAUUGUAAAAUACUUUCACCGGUGAAGAUAAUGACUGUAGCCGGAGAAGAAGCCCCGGCUAACUUCGUGCCAGCAGCCGCAGUAAUAC
rnacentral:rRNA from 1 species